AGAGUUUGAUCCUGGCUCAGAACGAACGCUGGCGGCGUGGAUAAGACAUGCAAGACGAACGAGAGAAUUGCUAGCUUGCUAAUAAUUCUCUAGUGGCGCACGGGUGAGUAACACGUGAGUAACCUGCCCCCGAGAGCGGGAUAGCCCUGGGAAACUGGGAUUAAUACCGCAUAGUAUCGAAAGAUUAAAGCAGCAAUGCGCUUGGGGAUGGGCUCGCGGCCUAUUAGUUAGUUGGUGAGGUAACGGCUCACCAAGGCGAUGACGGGUAGCCGGUCUGAGAGGAUGUCCGGCCACACUGGAACUGAGACACGGUCCAGACACCUACGGGUGGCAGCAGUCGAGAAUCAUUCACAAUGGGGGAAACCCUGAUGGUGCGACGCCGCGUGGGGGAAUGAAGGUCUUCGGAUUGUAAACCCCUGUCAUGUGGGAGCAAAUUAAAAAGAUAGUACCACAAGAGGAAGAGACGGCUAACUCUGUGCCAGCAGCCGCGGUAAUACAGAGGUCUCAAGCGUUGUUCGGAAUCACUGGGCGUAAAGCGUGCGUAGGCUGUUUCGUAAGUCGUGUGUGAAAGGCGCGGGCUCAACCCGCGGACGGCACAUGAUACUGCGAGACUAGAGUAAUGGAGGGGGAACCGGAAUUCUCGGUGUAGCAGUGAAAUGCGUAGAUAUCGAGAGGAACACUCGUGGCGAAGGCGGGUUCCUGGACAUUAACUGACGCUGAGGCACGAAGGCCAGGGGAGCGAAAGGGAUUAGAUACCCCUGUAGUCCUGGCAGUAAACGGUGCACGCUUGGUGUGCGGGGAAUCGACCCCCUGCGUGCCGGAGCUAACGCGUUAAGCGUGCCGCCUGGGGAGUACGGUCGCAAGAUUAAAACUCAAAGAAAUUGACGGGGACCCGCACAAGCGGUGGAGUAUGUGGCUUAAUUCGAUGCAACGCGAAGAACCUUACCUGGGCUUGACAUGUAAUGAACAACAUGUGAAAGCAUGCGACUCUUCGGAGGCGUUACACAGGUGCUGCAUGGCCGUCGUCAGCUCGUGUCGUGAGAUGUUUGGUUAAGUCCAGCAACGAGCGCAACCCCUGUUGCCAGUUACCAGCACGUGAAGGUGGGGACUCUGGCGAGACUGCCCAGAUCAACUGGGAGGAAGGUGGGGACGACGUCAGGUCAGUAUGGCCCUUAUGCCCAGGGCUGCACACGUACUACAAUGCCCAGUACAGAGGGGGCCGAAGCCGCGAGGCGGAGGAAAUCCUAAAAACUGGGCCCAGUUCGGACUGUAGGCUGCAACCCGCCUACACGAAGCCGGAAUCGCUAGUAAUGGCGCAUCAGCUACGGCGCCGUGAAUACGUUCCCGGGUCUUGCAC
rnacentral:rRNA from 1 species